UAUGGCCACAUCGCGUUGAAACAUCGGUUCCCGUAAUGUCAUCGAAGUUAAGCAACGUCGAGCCUUGUCAGUACCUAGAUGGGUGACCGUAUGGGAAUAGCAGGU